UAUGGAGCUUAAGACGCCAGGGCAGCUCACGUUAAACGCCCCUAAUAAAGGAAUAAAACCUAGUGAAUCCUGCUCUAAUGUCUUUGGUUGGGGCGACCACGGGGAAUCAUAAAACCCCCACGUGGAAUGGGAGCACCACACUCCUAAACCCAAGAGCUUCCGCUCUAAUGAACAGAACUUCUGGCCAUAUUAGAUCCGGUAAAACCGAUCAACGAACCGAGUUACCCUA
rnacentral:rRNA from 1 species